rnacentral:rRNA from 1 species
AACGAACGCUGGCGGCGCGCCUAAUACAUGCAAGUCGAGCGAGAAGGUGUAGCAAUACACUUGUAAAGCGGCGAACGGGUGAGGAAUGCAUGGGUAACCUACCCUCGAGUGGGGAAUAACUAGCCGAAAGGUUAGCUAAUACCGCAUACGUUUCCGGAACUUCGGUUUCGGAAAGAAAGCAAUACCGUGGGUAUUGCGCUCCUGGAUGGGCUCAUGUCCUAUCAGCUUGUUGGUGAGGUAACGGCUCACCAAGGCUUCGACGGGUAGCUGGUCUGAGAGGACGAUCAGCCACACUGGCACUGCGACACGG